rnacentral:rRNA from 1 species
UACGAAGGGGGCUAGCGUUGCUCGGAAUGACUGGGCGUAAAGGGCGCGUAGGCGGUUUGAUCAGUUAGGUGUGAAAUUCCUGGGCUUAACCUGGGGGCUGCACUUAAUACGGUCAGACUAGAGUGUGGAAGAGGGUCGUGGAAUUCCCAGUGUAGAGGUGAAAUUCGUAGAUAUUGGGAAGAACACCGGUGGCGAAGGCGGCGACCUGGUCCAUUACUGACGCUGAGGCGCGAAAGCGUGGGGAGCAAACAGGAUUAGAUACCCUGGUAGUCCACGCUGUAAACGAUGUGUGCUGGAUGUUGGGUGGCCUAGCCAUUCAGUGUCGUAGCUAACGCGAUAAGCACACCGCCUGGGGAGUACGGCCGCAAGGUUGAA